rnacentral:rRNA from 1 species
GACGAACGCUGGCGGCGUGCCUAAUACAUGCAAGUAGAACGCUGAAGAGAGGAGCUUACUCUUCUUGGAUGAGUUGCGAACGGGUGAGUAACGCGUAGGUAACCUGCCUUGUAGCGGGGGAUAACUAUUGGAAACGAUAGCUAAUACCGCAUAACAAUUGAUGACACAUGUCUUUUAUUUGAAAGGGGCAAUUGCUCCACUACAAGAUGGACCUGCGUUGUAUUAGCUAGUAGGUGAGGUAAUGGCUCACCUAGGCGACGAUACAUAGCCGACCUGAGAGGGUGAUCGGCCACACUGGGACUGAGACACGGCCCAGACUCCUACGGGAGGGAGCAGUAGGGAAUCUUCGGCAAUGGGGGCAACCCUGACCGAGGAACGCCGCGUGAGGGAAGAAGGUUUUCGGAUAGUAAAGCUCUGUUGUAAGGGAAGAACGGGUGUGAGAGUGGAAAGUGCACACUGUGACGGUAGCUUACCAGAAAGAGACGGCUAACUACGUG